UAUGAAUAAGGACCGGCUAAUUCCGUGCCAGCAGCCGCGGUAAUACGGAAGGUCCGGGCGUUAUCCGGAUUUAUUGGGUUUAAAGGGAGCGUAGGCCGGAGAUUAAGCGUGUUGUGAAAUGUAGACGCUCAACGUCUGCACUGCAGCGCGAACUGGUUUCCUUGAGUACGCACAAAGUGGGCGGAAUUCGUGGUGUAGCGGUGAAAUGCUUAGAUAUCACGAAGAACUCCGAUUGCGAAGGCAGCUCACUGGAGCGCAACUGACGCUGAAGCUCGAAAGUGCGGGUAUCGAACAGGAUUAGAUACCCUGGUAGUCCGCACGGUAAACGAUGGAUGCCCGCUGUUGGUCUGAAUAGGUCAGCGGCCAAGCGAAAGCAUUAAGCAUCCCACCUGGGGAGUACGCCGGCAACGGUGCAACUCAA
rnacentral:rRNA from 1 species